rnacentral:rRNA from 1 species
GCAUGUCGAGCGAGGUUAGCAAUAACCUAGCGGCGAAUGGGUGAGUAACACGUGCUUAAUCUACCUUUUAGAUUGGAAUACCCAUUGGAAACAAUGGCUAAUGCCGGAUACGCAUGGAACCGCAUGGUUCCGUUGUGAAAGGCGCUGCAAGGCGCCACUAAAAGAUGAGGGUGCGGAACAUUAGUUAGUUGGUGAGGUAAUGGCCCACCAAGACUAUGAUGUUUAGCCGGGUCGAGAGACUGAACGGCCACAUUGGGACUGAGAUACGGCCCAAACUCCUACGGGAGGCAGCAGUAGGGAAUAUUCCACAAUGAGCGAAAGCUUGAUGGAGCGACACAGCGUGCACGAUGAAGGUCUUCGGAUUGUAAAGUGCUGUUAUAAGGGAAGAACAUUUGCAAUAGGAAAUGAUUGCAGACUGACGGUACCUUGUCAGAAAGCGAUGGCUAACUAUGUGCCAGCAGCCGCGGUAAUACAUAGGUCGCAAGCGUUAUCCGGAAUUAUUGGGCGUAAAGCGUUCGUAGGCUGUUUGUUAAGUCUGGAGUUAAAUCCCGGGGCUCAACCCCGGCUCGCUUUGGAUACUAGCAAACUAGAGUUAGAUAGAGGUAAGCGGAAUUCCAUGUGAAGCGGUGAAAUGCGUAGAUAUAUGGAAGAACACCAAAGGCGAAGGCAGCUUACUGGGUCUAUACUGACGCUGAGGGACGAAAGCGUGGGGAGCAAACAGGAUUAGAUACCCUGGUAGUCCACGCCGUAA